rnacentral:ncRNA from 3 species
UCCCUGUCCUCCAGGAGCU